UACGGGGGGGGCAAGCGUUGUUCGGAAUUACUGGGCGUAAAGGGCUCGUAGGCGGCCAACUAAGUCAGACGUGAAAUCCCUCGGCUUAACCGGAGAACUGCAUCUGAUACUGGAUGGCUUGAGUUCGGGAGAGGGAUGCGGAAUUCCCCAAGUAGAGGUGAAAUUCGUAGAUAUGGGGAGGAACACCGGUGGCGAAGGCGGCCACCUGGACGGUAACUGACGCUGAGACGCGAAAGCGUGGGGAGCAAACAGG
rnacentral:rRNA from 1 species